AAUGGGGGAAACCCUGACGCAGCAAUGCCGCGUGAGUGAAGAAGGCCUUCGGGUUGUAAAGCUCUUUUAUUCGGAAAGAAACAAAUGACGGUACCGAAAGAAUAAGCACCGGCUAACUCUGUGCCAGCAGCCGCGGUAAUACAGAGGGUGCAAGCGUUAUUCGGAAUUACUGGGCGUAAAGCGCAUGUAGGUGGUUUAGUAAGUCUGGUGUGAAAUCCCUCGACUCAAUCGAGGAAGUGCAUUGGAUACUGCUAGACUAGAGUAUGGGAGAGGUGAGUGGAAUUCCAGGUGUAGAGGUGAAAUUCGUAGAUAUCUGGAGGAACAACAGAGGCGAAGGCGGCUCACUGGACCAUUACUGACACUGAGAUGCGAAAGCGUGGGGAGCAAA
rnacentral:rRNA from 1 species